GCCGGGCGUGGUGGCGGGCGCCUGUAGUCCUAGCUACUUGGGAGGCUGAGGCAGGAGAAUCGCUUGAUCCUGGGAGGCAGAGGUUGCAGUGAGCCGAGAUCACACCACUGCACUCCAGCCUGGGUGACAGAGCGAGACUCUGUCUCAA
rnacentral:sRNA from 1 species